rnacentral:rRNA from 1 species
AGAGUUUGAUCAUGGCUCAGGAUGAACGCUAGCGACAGGCCUAACACAUGCAAGUCGAGGGGUAACAGAAUUUUAGCUUGCUAAAAUUGCUGACGACCGGCGCACGGGUGAGUAACGCGUAUGCAACCUACCUCUUACAGAGGAAUAGCCCGAAGAAAUUCGGAUUAAUGCCUCAUGGUUCUGUUUUCUCGCAUGGGAAGAUAGAUAAAGUUCCGGCGGUAAGAGAUGGGCAUGCGUUUCAUUAGUUAGUUGGUAGGGUAACGGCCUACCAAGGCAACGAUGAAUAGGGGUUCUGAGAGGAUAGUCCCCCACACUGAUACUGAGACACGGACCAGACUCCUACGGGAGGCAGCAGUGAGGAAUAUUGGUCAAUGGGCGAAAGCCUGAACCAGCCAUGUCGCGUGCAGGAAGACGGCCCUAUGGGUUGUAAACUGCUUUUCUAUAGGAAGAAUGUCAUCUACGUGUAGAUGUUUGCCUGUACUAUAGGAAUAAGCAUCGGCUAACUCCGUGCCAGCAGCCGCGGUAAUACGGAGGAUGCGAGCGUUAUCCGGAUUCAUUGGGUUUAAAGGGUGCGUAGGCGGUCUAUUAAGUCAGUGGUGAAAUUUUGUGGCUCAACCAUAAGCGUGCCAUUGAUACUGAUAGACUUGAGUGCAGACGAGGAAGGCGGAAUGUGUUAUGUAGCGGUGAAAUGCAUAGAUAUAACACAGAACACCGAUUGCGAAGGCAGCUUUCCAGACUGUAACUGACGCUGAUGCACGAAAGCGUGGGUAGCGAACAGGAUUAGAUACCCUGGUAGUCCACGCCGUAAACGAUGAUCACUGGUUGUAGGCGAUACACCGUCUGUGACUGAGCGAAAGUAUUAAGUGAUCCACCUGGGGAGUACGUCGGCAACGAUGAAACUCAAAGGAAUUGACGGGGGCCCGCACAAGCGGAGGAACAUGUGGUUUAAUUCGAUGAUACGCGAGGAACCUUACCUGGACUUAAAUGUAGAUUGCAUAGAUUAGAGAUAGUCUUUUUCUUCGGAACUAUUUACAAGGUGCUGCAUGGUUGUCGUCAGCUCGUGCCGUGAGGUGUCGGGUUAAGUCCCAUAACGAGCGCAACCCCUAUCGUUAGUUGCUAACAGGUAAUGCUGAGGACUCUAGCGAGACUGCCACCGUAAGGUGCGAGGAAGGUGGGGAUGACGUCAAAUCAGCACGGCCCUUACGUCCAGGGCUACACACGUGUUACAAUGGCAGGUACAAAGGGCAGCUACACAGUGAUGUGAUGCUAAUCUCUAAAGCCUGUCACAGUUCGGAUUGGAGUCUGCAACUCGACUCCAUGAAGCUGGAUUCGCUAGUAAUCGCGCAUCAGCCAUGGCGCGGUGAAUACGUUCCCGGGCCUUGUACACACCGCCCGUCAAGCCAUGGAAGCUGGGGGUACCUAAAGUCCGUAACCGCAAGGAUCGGCCUAGGGUAAAACUGGUAACUGGGGCUAAGUCGUAACAAGGUAACCGUAAAGGGCGAAU